CGAGGCGUUCUUCAAACCUGUUGGGGUUUAACUUGAACAAAACCAUAUAAUUCUAAAGCAAAUUAGUAACUUUACCAGCAGCUGGAGCGUUGGAAAAGCCUUGCUUGUGAUGCCUACGGCCUACGAUGCUAAUGUUGAACCGAAAUGCUAUAAAAAGGAGGUAUCUUGUUGAUGACGGGUACGUGACUUAAUUAUGUGGAAAAAUGAGAAGACUCACUGGCGUAAGAAUUCAUUUAUUUAUUUGUGAAUUACCCGGAGUUCAUGUAGGUGUUGUUCCUGUCAUUUCGAGCUGUUUUGGGAACCAACGUUAAAUGUUGAUCAAUAUACAAACAGGCUGAACAUAUGGAGGACACCUAUGUGCAACGUUCAAGGUUUGGUUGGAACGGAACCGCAUUAUUCUACAUCCAUGAGUAACUUUACUGGCAGCUGGGGCGUUUGAAAAGCUCGUUUGUGAUGCCCACGAUACUAAAGUUGAACGGAAAUGCCAUAAGUGGAAGUAUCGUGAUGACGGAUGCGCGGUUUACUAUGUGGAAGGUUAAGAAGACUCACUGGCGUAAGAAUUCAUUUAUGUAUUUGUGAAUAACUUUGUUUAUUAGCUUUGUCAUUUCGUGCUGUUUUAUGGAAUCAACGUAAAAUGUUGAAACAAUAUGAAAACUAGCUCAACAUACGCGGGACAACUCUUGCACAACGUAAGUUUACAAUAAUCUUAACUUUAUAAUUAGGAUCAUACGCCUGUUUAUGGCCGGGGUUUACGUUUUUCUUGCAAUGUUUUCAAUGUCACUUUGAGUUUAAUCAUUUUUUUUUCAGGUUUUUGUCUUUCAGGUUGGGGGGCUGACCCUUGUUUUUCUGACUAUUGUCUUUUCGUGUUUCAUGACCAUACUGUUUUUUUUCGACCGUUGUCUUUCAGGUUUGUUGACCCCAAUCUGGUUUUUCUUACGAUUGGUUUCCAGCCUUGUUGACCAUCCUGAUUUUUGUGACCAUUGUCUUUUAAGUUAAAUUGUUUGUCUGGAUGCGUUGACCAUUAUGUUUUUUCCAUCCAUUGUCUUUCAUGUCGCGUUGACCAUUUUUUUAUUUUCUCUUGUGAUUUUUCUGACCAUUGUCGUUCAGGUUUGUUGAUCAUUUCGGUUUUAUCGACCCUUGUAUUCCCGGUUUUUACCAUUAUCUUUCUAUUUUUUUCAACCCUUUUCAGGUUUUUUAACCAUUCUGGUUUCAUGUUUUUCAGGUUCGUUCAUCAUUCUUGUUUUCUAUCCCUUGUAUUUCAGGGUUGUUUUUAGCCAUUUUUUCAGGUUGAGUUUACCAUUUUUUUCAAACGUUUUGUUUGCUAUUCGGAUUUUUUUUGAUCAUUGCUUUUAAGGUUUCGUUGACCAUUCUGUCUUUGGCCGUUGUCUCGUGUUGCGUUGGUCACUUUUUCUGGCCAGUGUCUUUCGUGUUGCGUUGUGUUGACAUUUUUUUUUUUUUGUGACCAUUGUAUUUCAGGUUGCGAUGAACAUUUGACCAUUAUCUUUCGUGUUUAUUCUGUUUUUAUAAUCAUUGAUUUUUUUUUUUUCUUCAGGUUUUUACCUAACAGUUAUUUUAUUAAACAUUUCAUUUUUUUCAGUAAAGUGUCAUCAAAUUUGCUGCGUUCAUAGCUAGCGCUUCUAUCUGAAAUAAUUUUUUUUUAAGUAUUUUAAUCUAGAUAGAAGUCAACACACUUCCUUCUUUAAGCGGCAUCUGAUUAACUAGACGCAUUGUGGAUGAUGAGACCUUGAUAAUAUUGAUGGUCGGUGAAAUAUUUGCAGAAUAAAGUGGUUUCGUUUCAAGAAAAGACUUUUCCGGAGAAGGGUGAUCAACUCGGUAACAUGGAGAGGUGUAAUAUUAUAAUUUUAUUUAAUUAAAAUAUGUAUUUUAGGUUUGUUGGCUAUUCUAAUUUUUUCCGACAAUUGUCUUUCAUGUUUACCAUUCUGCUUUUACAGCCAUUGUUUUUCAGGUUUUUACCAAACAUUUAUUUUUUCCAACAUUCAUAAAGGGUCGUUAAUUUUGACAAUAUAGCUAGCAUUACUUUCCAUCUUUUGAAAUCAUUUUUCCAAACCUAUUUUAAUCUAGAUAAAAGUCAAUAAUACUUUAUUUUUUUACGGACACUUGGAUAACUGGACGUAUUAUGGCUGAUAAAACCGUGAUAAUAUUGAUAUCGAAGAAAUAUUUGCAAAACAGCGAUAAGACGAGAUCUAAUGAAUACUAUAGAACAGCUAAGAUGCCUAAGAUUCUAAAUUGUUUUCGUUUCAAGAAAAGACUUUUCCGCAGAAGAGUGAUCAACUCGGUGACAUGGAGAGACGGAGAUUUGGUCGAGUGACAUCAAUCAUUGUGAAAUGUAUAGUUGAUGAUUGAUGAAAUAUUCGCAAAUUAGCAAUAAGACAAUGGAUGAUUACUUAUGAAACAGUGGAGAGUAAAACUUGGAUGCCUGGGAUUCUAAAGUGGUUUCGUUCAGAGAAAAGACUUAUUAGCAGAAGAGUAAAAUACGCGUUAAUAUAGAGAGGCGGAGGAUUCGGUCGAGUUACAUCUAUCAUCGUUGUGGGGAUGUACAUUUGAAAUAAACGUCAUUCAUAAAGUGGUCGCCUCUCUACGGACACACGAUGGCGAAGGAUUUGAUUGAGUGACAUCCAUCAUCCUUAUGGGAAUGUGAAGUUGAAAUAACGUUAUUCAUAAAGUGGCACACUUCUCUACGGACACACGAUGAGAGUAUGGAAGAACUACACAGCCAGUGUGUACCAAAUUGAGCAUCGUAAGAGCGUACGGUCGAAGUGUUAAUGAACUCACAGACUAACGCAAAGACGAAUGAUACCUGCAGUAAUUCAAAACGGACGAAGAGACAAUGGAAGAACUACCGUGCGGUCGAAGUGUUUAUGAACACCAAGAAGACUACAGCCUGUUUUUUAGGACUGAGGAAGAUUAUCUCAAAAGACACCGCAUGUCGCUUUCAAUCUUAACAUGGUUCAUUCAUUAUACAACAUUGAACGUCCCAAUAUCAGCUGAGAAAUGGAACUUUAUUAUCGUGGGUGCCACAUCACAUGUUCAUCGGUGUUCUCAUUUAAGGGUCAACAGUGUUCCCAUUGACAAAUCAACAGUGUUCCCCUUGACAAAUCAACAGUGUUCCCCUUGACGGAUCAACAGUGUUCCCCUUGACGGAUCGACAGUGUUCCCCUUGACGGAUCGACAGUGUUCCCCAAGUGACGGAUCGACAGUGUUCCCCAAGUGACGGAUCGACAGUGUUCCCCAAGUGACGGAUCGACAGCGUUCCCCAAGUGACGGAUCGACAGCGUUCCCUUUGAUGAAAUACGUGGACAUAUUAUUGUGCUAUAAUGAUUAUAAUGCAAUACAGACGGAUACGGACAAUACGGACCAGUCGUUGAAAUCCAAUCUGUGAGAGGGCACUGGACUCGCUAUGUUUGCAUUGCGGGUUCCUGCCCACUGACUUAAAUGUUGUGAAACAAUUUGGCUUGGCAAUGCCGAACCGGGAACGUUAGGUCCUUACAAAAACAUAGCAGCUCUCAUACCAGGGGCCGCUUCCGCAGUGCCUUGUUUUAAGUUAAAGACAUAUAGUAAACGCUGUAUGGAAAAACAACCUCGUGCAUUUGCAUACCACAGUAACAAACUAGCUAGACAAUGUCCAACCGGGCUGAUCAAGGUCCUUUAUACUCUAUUUUGUAGGGGCUACGGGUGAUUUCGUUCAAUUUUUACUAUGUUUUCAAAUCGGUUUAUUACAAACGCUCAUAUAUUCAUUAUUGUAUGGCCGUGUUUAUUGUUGGUGAAAUAAUUGCUUUUCUCUUUUAUAUAUUCGAGCAAUUGCUUUAUAUUUUCCCUCUUUUUGUCAAAUGGGUUUUUUUCGUGUCAAACUCAAAUUAUCUGAUUCAGGGAACAAUUAAGCCAUAACCAUUGAGUGUGUUUUCAGCUACUUAUAAAUAUUAUUUUGCUUUCAUUGUUCUAUAAAUUUAUUGCUGUGGGGUUGGGGUGGGCUCUUUACACAGAGCUGAAUGUUUUCAAAUGAAGGAUUCAUUAUUCUUUAUGUGUGAUGUUCAGCUUUGCGUAUGAUUUACACAGCAUUUUCCCAUUUUUUUCUGUGGAUAAAUGUUUUAACAAAUUGUGUGUAUAUAUGCGAUGUUGGACAUCCUUACAAGCGAACAGGGCCAGACUUAAACCAACGCGAGCCAGAUAAGUGAAUUCCUGACACCCCAAUAAGGGGUAAACACCCCUCUCCGAUAGUUACGAACACUGUUGAAUCAUGUUACUCGAUGGCCGUGUUUUUCGUUAUUGAAAUAUUUUUUUUUUUGUAUAUUUAAGCAAUUGUAAUAUAUUUUCCCCUUUUUCAAAUUUUCCAGCUGAUGGAUCCUUCGGGUUAAACCCAAAUUAUUUGACGAUUCUCUUAGUGUUAAACUCAAAUUAUUUGAUUCUGGGAAAAGCCACGGCUUCCUUGUAAAAGUAUUUUGUAUACCUUGUUUUAUAAUUUUUGCAUUUUUUUUUACCAAUGAAAUUGCUGUUGGGUUGGGGUGGGCUCUUUACGCAGAACUGAAUGUUGUUAGCCUAUUUCAGCUCUGCGUAUGGUUUACAGCAUUUUCAUAUUUUUUUAUCUGUGAAC